UACGGAGGAUGCAAGCGUUAUCCGGAAUGAUUGGGCGUAAAGCGUCCGCAGGUGGCAAUGUAAGUCUGCUGUCAAAGCGUCUGGCUCAACCAGAUAAAGGCAGUGGAAACUACAUAGCUAGAGUAAGGUAGGGGUAGAGGGAAUUCCUGGUGUAGCGGUGAAAUGCGUAGAGAUCAGGAAGAACACCGGUGGCGAAAGCGCUCUGCUGGACCUAAACUGACACUGAGGGACGAAAGCGUGGGGAGCAAACAGG
rnacentral:rRNA from 1 species